GGACUGCAAUGUGCAAGAGCUGAGUUUAGCAGAACAUUCUGGAAAGUAUAGCCAUAGAGGGUGAUAGUCCCGUAUGCGAAAAACAAAGCUUAGCUAGCAGUAUCCUGAGUAGGGCGGGACACGAGGAAUCCUGUCUGAAUCCGGGUCGACCACGAUCCAACCCUAAAUACUAAUACCAGAUCGAUAGUGCACAAGUACCGUGAGGGAAAGGUGAAAAGAACUGAGGUGAUCAGAGUGAAAUAGAACCUGAAACCAUUUGCUUACAAUCAUUCAGAGCACUAUGUAGCAAUACAGUGUGAUGGACUGCCUUUUGCAUAAUGAGCCUGCGAGUUGUGGUGUCUGGCAAGGUUAAGCAAACGCGAAGCCGUAGCGAAAGCGAGUCUGAAUAGGGCGCUUAGUCAGAUGCUGCAGACCCGAAACGAAGUGAUCUAUCCAUGAGCAAGUUGAAGCUAGUGUAAGAACUAGUGGAGGACUGAACCCAUAGGCGUUGAAAAGCCCCGGGAUGACUUGUGGAUAGGGGUGAAAGGCCAAUCAAACUUCGUGAUAGCUGGUUCUCUCCGAAAUAUAUUUAGGUAUAGCGUUGUGUCGUAAUAUAAGGGGGUAGAGCACUGAAUGGGCUAGGGCAUACACCAAUGUACCAAACCCUAUCAAACUCCGAAUACCUUAUAUGUAAUCACAGCAGUCAGGCGGCGAGUGAUAAAAUCCGUCGUCAAGAGGGAAACAACCCAGACUACCAGCUAAGGUCCCUAAAUCUUACUUAAGUGGAAAACGAUGUGAAGUUACUUAAACAACCAGGAGGUUGGCUUAGAAGCAGCCAUCCUUUAAAGAAAGCGUAAUAGCUCACUGGUCUAGUGAUUUUGCGCGGAAAAUAUAACGGGGCUAAAGUAAGUACCGAAGCUGUAGACUUAGUUUACUAAGUGGUAGGAGAGCGUUCUAUUUGCGUCGAAGGUAUACCGGUAAGGAGUGCUGGAGCGAAUAGAAGUGAGCAUGCAGGCAUGAGUAGCGAUAAUUAAUGUGAGAAUCAUUAACGCCGUAAACCCAAGGUUUCCUACGCGAUGCUCGUCAUCGUAGGGUUAGUCGGGUCCUAAGUCGAGUCCGAAAGGGGUAGACGAUGGCAAAUUGGUUAAUAUUCCAAUACCAACAUUAGUGUGCGAUGGAAGGACGCUUAGGGCUAAGGGGGCUAGCGGAUGGAAGUGCUAGUCUAAGGUCGUAGGAGGUUGUACAGGCAAAUCCGUAUAACAAUACUCCGAGAACUGAAAGGCUUUUUGAAGUCUUCGGAUGGAUAGAAGAACCCCUGAUGCUGUCGAGCCAAGAAAAGUUUCUAAGUUUAGCUAAUGUUGCCCGUACCGUAAACCGACACAGGUGGGUGGGAUGAGUAUUCUAAGGCGCGUGGAAGAACUCUCUUUAAGGAACUCUGCAAAAUAGCACCGUAUCUUCGGUAUAAGGUGUGGUUAGCUUUGUAUUAGGAUUUACUCCGAAAGCAAGGAAACUUACAACAAAGAGUCCCUCCCGACUGUUUACCAAAAACACAGCACUCUGCUAACUCGUAAGAGGAUGUAUAGGGUGUGACGCCUGCCCGGUGCUCGAAGGUUAAUUGAUGGGGUUAGCAUUAGCGAAGCUCUUGAUCGAAGCCCGAGUAAACGGCGGCCGUAACUAUAACGGUCCUAAGGUAGCGAAAUUCCUUGUCGGUUAAAUACCGACCUGCAUGAAUGGCGUAACGAGAUGGGAGCUGUCUCAAAGAGGGAUCCAGUGAAAUUGUAGUGGAGGUGAAAAUUCCUCCUACCCGCGGCAAGACGGAAAGACCCCGUGGACCUUUACUACAGCUUGACACUGCUACUUGGAUAAGAAUGUGCAGGAUAGGUGGGAGGCUUUGAGUAUAUGACGCCAGUUGUAUAUGAGCCAUUGUUGAGAUACCACUCUUUCUUAUUUGGGUAGCUAACCAGCUUGAGUUAUCCUCAAGUGGGACAAUGUCUGGUGGGUAGUUUGACUGGGGCGGUCGCCUCCCAAAUAAUAACGGAGGCUUACAAAGGUUGGCUCAGAACGGUUGGAAAUCGUUCGUAGAGUAUAAAGGUAUAAGCCAGCUUAACUGCAAGACAUACAAGUCAAGCAGAGACGAAAGUCGGUCUUAGUGAUCCGGUGGUUCUGUGUGGAAGGGCCAUCGCUCAAAGGAUAAAAGGUACCCCGGGGAUAACAGGCUGAUCUCCCCCAAGAGCUCACAUCGACGGGGAGGUUUGGCACCUCGAUGUCGGCUCAUCGCAUCCUGGGGCUGGAGCAG
rnacentral:rRNA from 1 species